GACGAACCGUGCGAACGUUGUUCGGAAUCACUGGGCUUAAAGGGCGCGUAGGCGGACCUCCAAGUCCGGGGUGAAAUCUUUCGGCUUAACCGGAAAAGUGCCUUGGAUACUGGGGGGUCUCGAGGGAGGCAGGGGGCGGAUGGAACUUCCGGUGGAGCGGUGAAAUGCGUUGAUAUCGGAAGGAACGCCGGUGGCGAAGGCGGCGCACUGGACCAUAACUGACGCUGAUGCGCGAAAGCUAGGGGAGCAAACAGG
rnacentral:rRNA from 1 species